rnacentral:rRNA from 1 species
GGGUGCAAGCGUUGUCCGGAUUCACUGGGUUUAAAGGGUGCGUAGGUGGGUUUGUAAGUCAGUGGUGAAAUCUCCAGGCUUAACCUGGAAACUGCCAUUGAUACUAUAGAUCUUGAAUUUUCUGGAGGUAAGCGGAAUAUGUCAUGUAGCGGUGAAAUGCUUAGAUAUGACAUAGAACACCAAUUGCGAAGGCAGCUUGCUAGAGGAAUAUUGACACUGAGGCACGAAAGCGUGGGGAUCAAACAGG